GACCAAAGUAAUGCACCAGGUCCGCAUCAUCUGGCACUUGCCCCAGGUGCCCGAGGCACUGCAGGGGCUGUGCCUCUGAGGCCACCAGAAACUUCCACCCGCUCCCUGCUGCAGGCCCUGGGAUCUGGCACAGCCUCCCAGACUGGCGCAGCCUGCAGAUGAGCCACCUCAGGGAGCAGUGGGGACACAUCACCUCGUCCCAUCAAAGCAAGCAAUGGUGGGUCUCAGAGAGGCUAGAUGGAAGACCCCACUCCCUCCUGGAGGAAGGGGCUCCCCAGAGAUGUCCUCGAACAUGGACUCCUAUGAACAUUUCCGCUGGGAGGCUCCAGCCCCUCGGGCAUGAAGAGAGCAUCAGGCUCUGAAGAUGGCCUGCCCAGAGCCAUGGAUGCCAUGCCGAAGAGCUUGCUGACAGCAAUCUCCAGCACAUCUUGGAGUUACCAAUCCAUGAGAGGAACUUAUGAUGUACCUGUCUGGCACAAUAAUUCUGCAUUGAAUCAGCUCUGUCCCAGCCUCUCACAGAGAUGUAUCCUGCAGUCAGCCCAGCUCAGGGAGCAGUGGGGACAAGUGAUCUCCUCCUGUCAGACCAAGCAACAUGGGUCUCAUUGAGGCUCAGAUGGAAGAUCCCAUGCAUCUCCUGGAGAGGAUGUGUCCAGGAUCCUGGAUAAUGUUUUCUGCAGGAGGUUUGAAUGGGGAGAGAUCACUCACUGUCAUGACCCAGAGGCCUUCAACCCAGGGCUGUAGAGUUCAUGGAAGCAGCUACACUCCAACCCUCCACCUGGAAGCCUGCUGAAAAUUGCUUACCUAGGACCCAUGAAGUUCAGCCCCAGUCUGAGGCUCCGCUCCUGAGGUUCUAGUGGAGGAGUCCCAGAGAAGCUUAUUGGCCCUCUGGCCCUGCUUAAGGCAGCAGCAGGAAAAGGAAGCUGACUGAACACCAGGGCUGCUCCCUGUUCUGGAUCGUGUGCUGCCUCUUUCUGCUGCUGCUCCCCUGGCUUGAUUCCCUGGCAUCUGAUUUGUGGGUUUGAUUGCAAGUUUCUCUUGUGCUUCUGAUCUUCCAGUAUCCUGACCCAGCUGAUUCUCAACUGACAUGCAUCCGAAGAAGUGGGUAUUCACCCACGAAAGCUCAUGCUCCAAAAUGUCUGUUAGUCUAUAAGGUGCCACAGGACUCUUUGCUGCUGUCAUGGCUCACCAUCCAUCUUGGAGCUGAACACCAGAUGGGAGCUGAUAGAUUGUUCUUGGUGGGCCAUGUUUUUGUGUGGGAGAGAGGGCCAGGAGAAGAUGCACCACACAUGACUAGGACCGGGAUAAACAAUCUGUAAUGAGAGUCAGCCAGUGAAGCCAGUUUGCAGAAUGUGGAAGAGCUGUUUGGCGAUGGGUUGGAGGAUUCACCAUGUAGGUGGCAGCAGCUGCAGUGCCUGGGGUCUCCAUGGGCCAAGGCUCCACUCCUGACACACCAGGCUAAUCUCCCACUGCUCUCAGGGGGCUUUGGCUUUAGCUGCUGGGCCUGCGUGCCUAGAGAGAAGACUCCGGUAUUUCCAUCAGGCUGCUCAAUGGCAAAUGUAGCCAUCCACAGAAGUGAAGAAGAAUGGAAGUGAAAGAGUAAAGCUGGACCAUCCGCUGCGCUGUUGCAAGCAAGUGAGCAGAGCUGGGGAGAGAAGAGGGAGAACACGAAGGUGGCUGGUGGCAGUAAGGAGGAAAAGCAGUUUGGGAGC